GGCUUCUACAAAGUUGGAAUAUAUGUCCUUUUAUGUGAACAACUUAACUGGACCAAUCUCUGCCUUCUUGGGAUACAUCAGCACUCUAAAAUACUUGAACCUUGAGACUAACAUGUUUUCUGGAACUGUUCCUCCUGAGCUUGGGAAGUUGGUUAACUUGCAGAAUCUGUAAGCUCCUUUUCAACCCCAGUUUGUUUUACAUUUUUUUGUUUUUGUUUUAAGUAUUAACUAGUUGAAUAAGUAAGUACCAACUGGUAAGUUGGCUCUGGUGUCAAAACUUAAUGGCAUGUCAACCAGGAACUGCAUGAGAGAAUAUUAGUAUGAAGGCUUGAAUGUGCAAUAUUGAAACAUUGCUCAUAUUUGGAUAAGAGAAUGUAUAGUAUACUAUGACACUAUCUUAAAUGGUAACUUGUUAUACGGACAAUGUAAAUGUAUGUUUUGGAAUGAGCAUGUGUUCUACCUCUUUGUUUAUGUUUUCUGUGAACUUUAGCCCAAACCUUUUGACUACACUGCCUUGAUCUCAUCUAUUAGACAUUUUGAAGUUCCUUUUAUGCAACUCUUAUGCUGCGUCCACAUGUUAGAUUUCCCACUUUGUGAUGUGUCAUAAUGUACUGCUAGUAAACUUAAAACUGGAGAUAUAAACAAAAGUAAGACUCUAUUUGUCCACAUAAAGGUAGAGGAAUAUACCAGCUAUAUAUAUAUAUAU